AGGCUCUUGGGUUGUAAACCUCUUUUAUCAGGGAAGAAGAUCUGACGGUACCUGAUGAAUCAGCAUCGGCUAACUCCGUGCCAGCAGCCGCGGUAAUACGGAGGAUGCAAGCGUUAUCCGGAUUUAUUGGGCGUAAAGCGUCCGCAGGUGGUUUUUCAAGUCUGCUGUUAAAGCGCGAGGCUUAACCUCGUAACGGCGGUGGAAACUGAGAGACUUGAGUAUGGUAGGGGUAGCGGGAAUUCCCAGUGUAGCGGUGAAAUGCGUAGAUAUUGGGAAGAACACCAGCGGCGAAAGCGCGCUACUGGGCCAUAACUGACACUCAUGGACGAAAGCUAGGGGAGCGAAAGGGA
rnacentral:rRNA from 2 species